AAAAAAAGAAACUAUUCUUAGCUCUUUUUGCAACGCUACUCGUUGUCGCUGCCGUAAUCGGCAUUGUCGCCGGAGUGAACUCAAGAAAAAACUCCGGCGACAACGGCAACGAGCCUCAUCAUGCUAUCCUCAAAUCAUCAUGUAGCAGCACAAGGUACCCGGACUUAUGCUUUUCGGCUAUUGCUGCCGUUCCAGAGGCCUCCAAAAAGGUGACAAGCCAAAAGGACGUUAUUGAGAUGUCCUUAAACAUCACAACAACAGCCGUGGAACACAACUACUUCGGGAUUCAGAAGCUCUUGAAGAGAACGAAUCUCACCAAACGGGAAAAGGUUGCUCUCCAUGACUGUCUUGAGACGAUCGAUGAGACUCUUGAUGAGUUACACAAAGCCGUCGAGGAUCUUGAGGAGUACCCGAACAAGAAAUCUUUAUCACAGCAUGCGGAUGAUCUCAAAACCCUAAUGAGUGCCGCGAUGACCAAUCAGGGGACGUGUCUUGAUGGGUUCUCUCAUGAUGAUGCUAAUAAGCACGUGCGGGAUGCGUUGUCAGACGGCCAGGUUCAUGUUGAGAAGAUGUGUAGCAAUGCGCUUGCUAUGAUCAAGAACAUGACUGACACUGACAUGAUGAUCAUGAGGACUUCAAACAACAGGAAGCUGAUAGAGGAGACCAGUACGGUUGAUGGGUGGCCGGCGUGGCUGUCCACCGGAGACAGGAGGCUGUUGCAGUCCUCGUCGGUGACACCGAACGUGGUGGUGGCAGCAGAUGGCAGCGGAAACUUUAAGACGGUGGCGGCAGCGGUGGCGGCGGCUCCUCAGG
rnacentral:lncRNA from 1 species